rnacentral:rRNA from 1 species
UGUGUAGGCGGUUCUUUAAGUUUGGUGUGAAAUCUCCUGGCUCAACUGGGAGGGAGCGCCGAAUACUGAGGGACUAGAGUACGGGAGAGGAAAGUGGAAUUCCUGGUGUAGCGGUGAAAUGCGUAGAUAUCAGGAGGAACACCGGUGGUGUAGACGGCUUUCUGGACCGUAACUGACGCUGAGACACGAAAGCGUGGGUAGCAAACAGGAUUAGAUACCCUGGUAGUCCACGCCCUAAACGAUGCAUAUUUGGUGUGGGCAGUUCAUUCUGUCCGUGCCGGAGCUAACGCGUUAAAUAUGCCGCCUGGGGAGUACAGUCGCAAGGCUGAA